rnacentral:rRNA from 1 species
CCUACGGGAGGCAGCAGUGGGGAAUAUUGCGCAAUGGGCGCAAGCCUGACGCAGCGACGCCGCGUGAGGGAUGAAGGUCCUCGGAUCGUAAACCUCUGUUAGCAGGGAAGAACGGUCACUGUGCUAAUCAGCAGUGAAUUGACGGUACCUGCAAAGGAAGCACCGGCUAACUCCGUGCCAGCAGCCGCGGUAAUACGGAGGGUGCGAGCGUUAAUCGGAAUUACUGGGCGUAAAGCGCUCGUAGGCGGUAUGUCAAGUCAAGGGUGAAAUCCCCGCGCUCAACGUGGGAACUGCCUUUGAUACUGGCAGACUGGAGAGUGUGAGAGGAUAGUGGAAUUCCAGGUGUAGGAGUGAAAUCCGUAGAUAUCUGGAGGAACAUCAGUGGCGAAGGCGACUAUCUGGCACAUAACUGACGCUGAGGAGCGAAAGCGUGGGUAGCAAACAGGAUUAGAUACCCCUGUAGUC